AGAAUCUCUUGAUGAAGAAGGAACAUCUCGUGGUUGUUCUCAUCUCAUCUGCCACUAUUAACGGACACCGAAGCCCCCGUGUUCAUGGUCUCAAUACCAUCCAUGUACACAGUGGGGUGGGUCUUCUCUCCCAGCAGAUGAAGCGCCUCUUCUCCAUGCAAA